rnacentral:snRNA from 2 species
AGCCGUGCAGAGAGUACAGAGCGAACUAUUCUUUCGCCUUUUACUAAAGAAUACCGUGUGCUCGCUGCUGAAAACGGCAUACACCAAUUUUUGGGAGGGGCAUUUCUUGAAGAAUGCC